rnacentral:lncRNA from 1 species
CCUUGCUUUUCAGGGCUUUCCCCAAAAGACUAACAUUAGGCUCCCAGCCACAGGCCAGGGUGCUCAGACAGGUACCACAACAGCUCGUUCCAUCCCCGCUGUUGUUUCAGCAUCAAAUGUAAGCUUACGGAACCAGAGCAUGAGAAGCCCUGGGUCCUUACGGUUAAGAGAUAGAAGAGAAUGAGAUAUGGCUCCUAUAGCAAACAUUGCUCUGUCAUAGAUGAGCCUUCUCUUAAGAACUUGGGGUCAUGCAUGCUUAAUUGGGCCUUAAUCAGGUGAGGAAGUGACUUUAGAAAGCCGAGUUCUUGAUGAGAGCUGCAUGUUUUCAUCAGUAACCCAGGGCGAUUCAUUAUAUCAAGACUUUUAGACACAGGUGAGAUUUGAAGGUGAAAAGAAUGGCCAAGGAAGAGGCAGAAGGGAGAUGAGAGAUAACCACUGAAGGAGAAAGACGUGGCCAUGGAGGUUAAAUUGGAGUGGCUCAUAUUCUAGAUGCUAAGGGAAGACAGGGAAAAAGCUGGUUGAUUGGCUAAUCCCAGCACUUUGGGAGGCUGAGGUGGGAGAAUCGCUUGAGCCUAGGAGUUCAAGACCAGCCUGGGCAACAUCUCCAUUUGUAGAGACCCCAUCUCUACAAAUUAUUUUAAAAAUUAGCCGGGCAUGGUGGCUCAUGCCUGUGGUCCCAGCCACUUGGGAAGCUGAGGCAGGAGGAUUGCCUGAGCCUGGGAGGUCAAGGCUGUAGAGAGGCAUGAUCAUAACACUGCACCGCAACCCAGGCAACAGAAUGAGUGAGACUGUCUCAGAAAAUAAAAACAAAAGCUGGUAGACCCAGUGGACUUAAAUUCCACCUCUGCUGCCUACUAGUUAUGAUUUGG